rnacentral:rRNA from 1 species
AACGAACGCUGGCGGCAGGCUUAACACAUGCAAGUCGAGCGCGCAGCAAUACGAGCGGCAGACGGGUGAGUAACGCGUGGGAAUCUACCCAACCCUACGGAAUAACGCAUGGAAACGUGUGCUAAUACCGUAUACGCCCUUUGGGGGAAGAUUUAUCGGGGAUGGAUGAGCCCGCGUUGGAUUAGCUAGUUGGUGGGGUAAAGGCCUACCAAGGCGACGAUCCAUAGCUGGUCUGAGAGGAUGAUCAGCCACAUUGGGACUGAGACACGGCCCAAACUCCUACGGGAGGCAGCAGUGGGAAUAUUGGACAAUGGGCGAAAGCCUGACUCCAGACAAGUCGCCCGG